rnacentral:rRNA from 1 species
AUUGAACGCUGGCGGCAUGCCUUACACAUGCAAGUCGAACGGCAGCACGGGUGCUUGCACCUGGUGGCGAGUGGCGAACGGGUGAGUAAUCCAUCGGAACGUACCUUAUCGUGGGGGAUAACGCAGCGAAAGCUGUGCUAAUACCGCAUACGCCCUGAGGGGGAAAGCGGGGGAUCGAAAGACCUCGCGCGAUUAGAGCGGCCGAUGCCUGAUUAGCUUGUUGGUGGGGUAAAAGCCCACCAAGGCGACGAUCAGUAGCUGGUCUGAGAGGACGAUCAGCCAAACUGGGACUGAGACACGGCCCAGACUCCUACGGGAGGCAGCAGUGGGGAAGUUUGGACAAUGGGGGCAACCCUGAUCCAGCAAUGCCGCGUGAGUGAAGAAGGCCUUCGGGUUGUAAAGCUCUUUUGUCAGGGAAGAAACACCGGCUCUAACACAGUCCGGGAAUGACGGUACCUGAAGAAUAAGCACCGGCUAACUACGUGCCAGCAGCCGCAGUAA